UGGGGAAUUUUGGACAAUGGGCGCAAGCCUGAUCCAGCCAUGCCGCGUGCGGGAAGAAGGCCUUCGGGUUGUAAACCGCUUUUGUCAGGGAAGAAAUCUUCUGAGUUAAUACCUCGGGAGGAUGACGGUACCUGAAGAAUAAGCACCGGCUAACUACGUGCCAGCAGCCGCGGUAAUACGUAGGGUGCAAGCGUUAAUCGGAAUUACUGGGCGUAAAGCGUGCGCAGGCGGUUUUGUAAGACAGAGGUGAAAUCCCCGGGCUCAACCUGGGAACUGCCUUUGUGACUGCAAGGCUUGAGUGCGGCAGAGGGGGGAUGGAAUUCCGCGUGUAGCAGUGAAAAUGCGUAGAUAUGCGGAGGAAACACCGAUGGCGAAGGCAAAUCCCCUGGGCCUGCACUGACGCUCAUGCACGAAAGCGUGGGGAGCAAAACAGGAUUAGAUACCCUGGUAGUCCACGCCCU
rnacentral:rRNA from 1 species